UACGGAGGGUGCAAGCGUUAAUCGGAAUUACUGGGCGUAAAGCGUGCGUAGGCGGUUCGUUAAGUCUGUUGUGAAAGCCCCGGGCUCAACCUGGGAAUGGCAAUGGAUACUGGCGAGCUAGAGUGUAUCAGAGGAUGGUGGAAUUCCCGGUGUAGCGGUGAAAUGCGUAGAGAUCGGGAGGAACAUCAGUGGCGAAGGCGGCCAUCUGGGACAACACUGACGCUGAGGCACGAAAGCGUGGGGAGCAAACAGG
rnacentral:rRNA from 1 species